GAUGAACGCUGGCGGCGUGCCUAAUACAUGCAAGUCGAGCGAACAGACGAGGAGCUUGCUCCUCUGACGUUAGCGGCGGACGGGUGAGUAACACGUGGAUAACCUACCUAUAAGACUGGGAUAACUUCGGGAAACCGGAGCUAAUACCGGAUAAUAUAUUGAACCGCAUGGUUCAAUAGUGAAAGACGGUUUUGCUGUCACUUAUAGAUGGAUCCGCGCCGCAUUAGCUAGUUGGUAAGGUAACGGCUUACCAAGGCAACGAUGCGUAGCCGACCUGAGAGGGGGGACGGGCAACACGGAAGCGAGACCACGUUCAAAACCCCAAGGGAGGGAGGAGGAGGGAAGUUUCCGGAAAUGGGCGAAAGCUGAAGGGAGAACCGCCGCGGGGGGAAUGAGGGUCUUGGAUCGGAAAAACUCUGUAAUAGGGAAGAACAAAUGUGUAAGUAACUAUGCACGUCUUGACGGUACCUAAUCAGAAAGCCACGGCUAACUACGUG
rnacentral:rRNA from 1 species